ensembl:snoRNA
AUCCUUUUGUAGUUCAUAAGCUUGAUGAUUGGGUGUUCACACAUUUGUGUGAUAUGUGCCUCCUUCAAACGUUGUAAUGACCUUGGCACAUUACCUGUCUGAUG